rnacentral:rRNA from 1 species
GACGAACGCUGGCGGCGUGCUUAACACAUGCAAGUCGAACGGAAAGGCCCUGCUUUUGUGGGGUGCUCGAGUGGCGAACGGGUGAGUAACACGUGAGUAACCUGCCCUUGACUUUGGGAUAACUUCAGGAAACUGGGGCUAAUACCGGCUAGGAGCUCCUGCUGCAUGGUGGGGGUUGGAAAGUUUCGGCGGUUGGGGAUGGACUCGCGGCUUAUCAGCUUGUUGGUGGGGUAGUGGCUUACCAAGGCGUUGACGGGUAGCCGGCCUGCGAGGGUGACCGGCCACAUUGGGACUGAGAUACGGCCCAGACUGCUACGGGAGGCAGCAGUGGGGAAUAUUGCACAAUGGGCGGAAGCCUGAUGCAGCAACGCCGCGUGCGGGAUGACGGCCUUCGGGUUGUAAACCGCUUUCGCCUGUGACGAAGCGUGAGUGACGGUAAUGGGUAAAGAAGCACCGGCUAACUACGUG